GAUGAACGCUGGCGGCGUGCCUAAUACAUGCAAGUCGAGCGAACAGACGAGGAGCUUGCUCCUCUGACGUUAGCGGUGGACGGGUGAGUAACACGUGGAUAACCUACCUAUAAGACUGGGAUAACUUCGGGAAACCGGAGCUAAUACCGGAUAACAUGUUGAACCGCAUGGUUCAACAGUGAAAGACGGUCUUGCUGUCACUUAUAGAUGGAUCCGCGCCGCAUUAGCUAGUUGGUAAGGUAACGGCUUACCAAGGCAACGAUGCGUAGCCGACCUGAGAGGGUGAUCGGCCACACUGGAACUGAGACACGGUCCAGACUCCUACGGGAGGCAGCAGUAGGGAAUCUUCCGCAAUGGGCGAAAGCCUGACGGAGCAACGCCGCGUGAGUGAAGAAGGUCUUCGGAUCGUAAAACUCUGUUAUUAGGGAAGAACAAAUGUGUAAGUAACUAUGCACGUCUUGACGGUACCUAAUCAGAAAGCCACGGCUAACUACGUGCCAGCAGCCGCGGUAAUACGUAGGUGGCAAGCGUUAUCCGGAAUUAUUGGGCGUAAAGCGCGCGUAGGCGGUUUUUUAAGUCUGAUGUGAAAGCCCACGGCUCAACCGUGGAGGGUCAUUGGAAACUGGAAAACUUGAGUGCAGAAGAGGAAAGUGGAAUUCCAUGUGUAGCGGUGAAAUGCGCAGAGAUAUGGAGGAACACCAGUGGCGAAGGCGACUUUCUGGUCUGUAACUGACGCUGAUGUGCGAAAGCGUGGGGAUCAAACAGG
rnacentral:rRNA from 1 species